UACGAAGGGGGCUAGCGUUGCUCGGAAUCACUGGGCGUAAAGCGCACGUAGGCGGAUUGUUAAGUCAGGGGUGAAAUCCUGGAGCUCAACUCCAGAACUGCCUUUGAUACUGAGGAUCUUGAGUCCGGGAGAGGUGAGUGGAACUGCGAGUGUAGAGGUGAAAUUCGUAGAUAUUCGCAAGAACACCAGUGGCGAAGGCGGCUCACUGGCCCGGUACUGACGCUGAGGCACGAAAGCGUGGGGAGCAAACAGG
rnacentral:rRNA from 1 species